rnacentral:rRNA from 1 species
UAUCCUGGCUCAGGAUGAACGCUGGCGGCGUGCUUAACACAUGCAAGUCGAACGAAGCACUACCGACGGAACUUUUCGGAGGGAAGAUGGUAAUGACUGAGUGGCGGACGGGUGAGUAACGCGUGGGCAACCUGCCCCAUAGAGGGGGACAACAGCUGGAAACGGCUGCUAAUACCGCAUAACAAGGAGAGAGCGCAUGUUCUUUUCUUCAAAGAUUUAUCGCUAUGGGAUGGACCCGCGUCUGAUUAGCUGGUUGGUGAGGUAACGGCUCACCAAGGCGACGAUCAGUAGCCGGCUUGAGAGAGUGGACGGCCACAUUGGGACUGAGACACGGCCCAGACUCCUACGGGAGGCAGCAGUGGGGAAUAUUGCACAAUGGGGGAAACCCUGAUGCAGCGACGCCGCGUGAGUGAAGAAGUAUUUCGGUAUGUAAAGCUCUAUCAGCAGGGAAGAUAAUGACGGUACCUGACUAAGAAGCCCCGGCUAACUACGUG